UCCCCGAUAGCUCAGCGGUAGAGUAGGUGACUGUUAAUCACUUGGUCGUAGGUUCGAAUCCUACUCGGGGAGCCA
rnacentral:tRNA from 1 species